UAAGGUAUUGUGAACUGAAUUGAAAGUCAUCCUUUCAAUGUCGCUUAUGAACAAAGUCAUAGACAUAAAUCCUCUUUCAGGUACUCUGACGUGCGAGGCCGGUUGCGUCCUGGAAAACCUGGAGAACAGGCUGGAAGAGCACCAGCUGAUGAUGCCCCUGGACCUGGGUGCCAAGGGCAGUUGUCACAUUGGCGGCAACAUCUCCACCAACGCAGGUGGUCUGAGGCUGCUUAGGUACGGCAGUCUCCAUGGCAGUGUGUUGGGUGUCGAGGCGGUGCUAGCAAACGGCGAGGUUAUCGACUGUUUGAAUGUCCUGAAGAAAGACAACACGGGCUAUCAUCUGCGACAUCUGUUCAUUGGUUCGGAGGGCACACUGGGCGUGGUCACUAAGGCCGCCAUACACUGUCCGCCUCGACCCAAGGCUCUCAACUUGGCCUUCCUUGGAACGGACAGUUUCAAGAACGUGCUGAACAUCCUCCAAUUGGCCAAGAGUCGUCUGUCCGAGAUUCUGUCGUCCUGCGAGAUGAUCGACGAACCGUCCUUAUCAGCUGUAGUCAGAAAUCUGGGCGUGAAGAGUCCCAUAGGCCAGUUUCCGUUCUAUGUUCUGAUCGAGACUUCUGGCUCGCACACGGCUCACGACGAGGAAAAGUUGAAUGCCUUUCUGGAUGCUGCAAUGGCCGAAAGCUACGUUCUAGAUGGCACUGUCACCAAUGAACCUUCGCGGAUGCAGGUUCUAUGGCAGCUGCGCGAAAGGAUUGCAGAAGCGCUGUUGAAAGAUGGGCCGGUCUACAAGUACGACGUUUCUCUGCCUGUUGAACACUUCUAUGGAAUAGUGCCUUUGCUACAGGACAAACUGAAAGGCACUAGCGCUGAUAUAGUUACCGGAUAUGGACAUAUUGGUGACGGCAACGUGCACCUGAACAUCACGUCGCGUUUCUACGACCAACAGCUGGUUGAUGACGUUAUCGAGCCGUUCGUGUUCGGAUGGGUGGCCGCACACAACGGCAGCAUCAGUGCUGAACACGGCAUCGGAUUCAAGAAGACCGAAUUCUUGCAUUACUCCAAGAAGCCCAGCGCCAUAGCUCUCAUGAAGCAGAUGAAACACCUCCUCGAUCCCAAUGCCAUUCUCAAUCCCUACAAGGUUCUGCCCGACAACUGAAUCCUAUCACUGAGCUCUAUAAAAUGAAAUCAUAAUGGCAUUGAUUUGAAAUCUAUGAGAUUAAUCUUGAAUCAUAACGAUAGCAUAUCCCAUGGUACAGGUGAAUUAUGUUCCAAAUUCCAAGCUAAGAAUCCAAGAGAAACGAUAGCAUAAUCAUAUUUUCCAUUGUAUAGGUGAAUUAUGUUCCAAAUUCCAAGCUGAGAAUCCAAGAGAAACGAUAGCAUAAUCAUAUUUUCCAUUGUAUAGGUGAAUUAUGUUCCAAAUUCCAAGCCAAGAAUCCAAGACAAACGAUAGCAUAAUCAUACUUUCCAUUGUAUAGGUGAAUUAUGUUCCAAAUUUCAUGCUAAGAAUCCAAGAUAAACGAUAACAUAAGCAUAUUUUUUCCAUUGUAUAGGUGAAUUAUGUUUCAAAUCCUAAUCCGUUUUUUUUUUUGUCAACUCAAGCCAAUUUCUGUCGACUACUAUCCAUUAUUACUGUUUCGACCGGGUGACAGUGUACAAUACCAUUCUCAACUAUGAAUGAUUGAGAAAGGAACAACAGGAAGGCCAAAAAUGUUCCUUUCCCAGAUUUGGAUAAAAAUUGUCCAAAAAUAGGUUAUGUUAAUCACUUCAUAGGUUUUGUCCAAUUUUGUGUCCAUAAUAUAUAUGUUGGCCCAGCCUGGUGAAAGUGCAAUUCCAAGUUGAUAACUUAUCAAUGAUAAGUUUCUACUCCUACUGGCGAACAAGUGUUUCACUUAUGCCAGUUGUAGUCUCCACCACCUGCCGAAUAAGAAUAAGAUAUAGAUAAAAAUAGAAAUCUAAGUACCCUUGGAGUUUUUUUUAGUAAGAAAAAACGACAAGAGUAAGAUAGUUGAUAUAGGUAGCUAUUUAGAAGAAUAAUUAUUAUUUUUGUCCAGUUGUCACAACUUUGUAUUAUUUUUGUGUUUUUAAAGAAAUAAAUUGAAUUGAGUUGAAAAUUCCUUACGAAAGCCAAUCAAGGCCAGUGCUGGCAAACCACCCAUACACAGCUUGCGCUUGUCGACAUUGGCCUUCCUUGGGCCAACAUGUGGGUGCGGCAUAAGAACGGCACAGUAUUGAUUGAUUAGCUGCCUGUAUUUAAAUUAGUAUUGUAUCUUACAAUCAUUUAUUCAUUAUGUAGUAUAUAGUAUCUGUAUGAUUGAAUACAGUAUAUAGUAACAAUAUAUCAGUAUCAGAGACUACCAGCGUCACAUAGCUUCAGUCACGAAAAAUAACUACGUGGACUAUCGGCUUGAAUUAACAGUAAAAUGUAGAUCAUGAACGCCCUAUACCAUGGGAUAUCUUCUUAUGCUUUCUUUUACCUAUGAUUCUAUAGACUGACUAUUCAAGAUUAAUCUUAUAGAUUUCAAACGAAUGCCAUUUUGAAAACCUCCUGCUUACACAAAAGCCUCUUGGAUUCUAAUCAUGAUUGAAAGCUUCGAGAACCAAUCAUACGUUUUUGAAAAUAAUGUUUCUUUGAUUGGUUCUUGUGUCAUUAAUCACGGUUAAAAUUUAAGAGGACUUUGGGCAACCGAGCCUUAGACUGAUCCAUAUUUUUAAAGUUUAAAUUGUGUCAUUUUAGACACCAUAGAUUUUAUUCUAGGUAGUGAUUUAGAUAUAGGUAGAUUUAGAUUUAGAUUUAGGUAUUAGGUAGUUUAUUUAGAUAUAUAUUUUCGAAGUUUAUCAUAGAUUGUGCUAUUUUGAAAACUAUAAUAUUCUAUUCUAGGUAGUGAAUUAUUUUAAUUGUGCGUGACUUGAAAACCAUAUCUCGUAUUUUACUAUAGAUAGGCCUAGUGAACUAUUCCAAUAGAAUAGAAAAAGUCUUUAUUCAUCAGAUGUAAGAAAUACAUUAGAACAGAGUCAAUAAAUUACAAUAUAAAUAUAAAUAACUAGGCUAGCCUAGUAUAUAUAGACAAAAGCGUUUCGUCAAAAAUCAAUGUUUAACUCUUGAGAAGAAUACAGCGAUAAUUUGACCGGAUAUUCCUUUAAAUUCUUUGCAAACAUUCU
rnacentral:misc_RNA from 1 species